AAUGUUCAAAAGCAGAAGGGUAUCAUACUUGCUAUGUUAUGACCUCUGAGACUGCGUGUUGUGCUUAUCUCCUCUCAGGAACAGAGAGAAAUUAGUGCAUUUGUGGCUGCUUGUUCUUACUCUGGCCUAAACUCUUCUGGUAUUCUGACAAGAAAAAAAAGCCUUUGAAACUUGCGAAGUAAUUUGCAAAGCUACUUUGGAGGGCUUUGUAAUAGAGAAAUUAUACCAAGUUGGAGUCUCAGACCCAGUGAGUGACAAGUACCAUAAUCUCACCCCAAGGACCAGCACACUCACCAUGUCAAAGAAGGCAUUCAAAAUACCUGAGAAAUAAAUUACAAUUACU
rnacentral:lncRNA from 1 species